UUGGAGGGCAAGUCUGGUGCCAGCAGCCGCGGUAAUUCCAGCUCCAAUAGCGUAUAUUAAAGUUGUUGCAGUUAAAAAGCUCGUAGUUGAAUUUCGGGGUCAGUAGGUCGGUCGUGCCACUGGUAUGAACUGGUUUUACUGAUUCCUCCCUCUUGAAGAACUGUAAUGCCAUUAAUUUGGUGUUGCAGGGAAUCAGGACUGUUACUUUGAAAAAAUUAGAGUGUUUAAAGCAGGCUUUAGCUUGAAUACAUUAGCAUGGAAUAAUGAAAUAGGACGUUUGAUCCUAUUUUGUUGGUUUCUAGGAUUGACGUAAUGAUUAAUAGGGAUAGUUGGGGGCAUUAGUAUUCAAUUGUCAGAGGUGAAAUUCUUGGAUUUAUUGAAGACUAACCACUGCGAAAGCAUUUGCCAAGGAUGUUUUCAUUAAUCAAGAACGAAAGUUAGGGGAUCGAAGACGAUCAGAUACCGUCGUAGUCUUAACCAUAAACUAUGCCGACUAGGGAUCGGAUGAUGUUAAUUUUUUAAUGACUCAUUCGGCGCCUUACGGGAAAC
rnacentral:rRNA from 1 species